AAGACAAUCUUUCAGCAGUUUAUUAGAAUGAAGCGACACUUCAUGGAGCGAUUUCAGUUUACUGGAAACAAAAUAAGCUGUGAUGUAUCAACUGAAGGUGUACCCGGGGGUCCGGGUGAAGAUCACGGUCAAGGAGUUGCUGCGGAGGCACAGAGAGAAGGAGGCCAACAACAAGAAGCUUAAUGCGCAGAUGCAUCAGGCUUGCUUGGAACUACAGGAGCUUCGCGCGUCCACUUUCCAAAGUGGCCAUGUGGCUCCUCCUCCCUCUGUCCCCCCAGCUGAAGCCAGCAGCUGCGGGUCGCUGGCCCUCCAGCUUCGAGCCACCAUCUCGUUUCCAGUCCCUGACAGCGCGUGCAACAUCCAGAUGCAGGAGUGCGGCAUCCAGGUGCAGCAGCAGCAGCAGUUUGGGGAUGUGAUGUUGCCCGGCAACGGAUACGGUGGUACCACCUACGACACCCCUCUGCCUCCUUUUCCAACCUCCCCUCAGCCUUGGUACCACGGACUGUCCUCAGAUGCGGACUACUACGGCCAGGGGAUGGCCCCUUGCUCCUCAUUGGAGUCACUGACUUUCUGCAACCCUGUGGAUCCCAACACUUAUUCCCCACAGGACUCCUUCUCUUCCUCCUCCUCCUCCUCAUGCUAUGACUCGCCCACCAGAAUGGAGUCAAGCUUCAGCCCACAGCAAUACCACUAUCAGCACUGUGGCCCCCAGGAAUAUUACAGCUUGCCACACUGUUGGUCAGGCCAGCAGGAGAGCCCCCCCACCCCAGAAUGCGCACCUUACUUUGCUCCCACAGACUAUCCCCAGGUGUAUCCUGUAGAAGACAGCUGUUUCCAGAAGGAUUUCCCGCUGAGCUCUGAGAUGUGCUACAAUGCUUUAUGAUGAGACCGUGAACAGUAUUACUUUGUAUCCUGACUGUAAAUACGAUUUGGCUCAGUGAGGUUGUUUGCUUUGCAUUUCACUUGGUCUGCUUUACUUUAAUCAAUUCAUUUGUAAUAAAAACUAAAUGAUAUAUUUUCAUACGCUAAUGUUUUGCUGCACAAAAUAAAAAUGUGUAAAAGUCAGCACUGUGCUUGUAAUGUGCGCUUGUCUAUUGCAGAGUUUCCACUGUAAAAGUCGGGAUGUUUGCUUCAGCCAGCAGGUUCAGACUUCACCCUGUGAACAUGCCCUGUAGCCACAGGUAACAAAUAAAAGUGAAAAAUGUGGGAAGAGUGUGAAAGUAAAUAUCACAGGCUGAUAACAUGUCAGGGCUGAACUCAGCUGUAACGCAACAAUUGGAAAUGAAGGCAAGGAAACGUCUGAGAUUUGACUUUGGCCUGCAGGGCAGUAUUUCACUGGGAGUUCAGAGAUCAAAGGAGAACAGAUUAACAGACAAGC
ensembl:lncRNA